GUAUAAUUAACUGUUGUUAGACACAAUUUUAUAGCUGGUUGCAUUCCUUUUUCUACACACUAUAUAUAACACUAAAGAAUUCUACAAAUGUAGCGUGGAGCAUGUGGAAAACAUAGGAAGCCAAUACCACCGAACUGCGAGAUGCUGGAAAAAUAAGUUAUUGGACAAUAAGAGCAAAAUUGUUGCUUUUGGAUUCAAUGAGGAGUUCAUUCGAAUGUGGGAAUAUUAUCUUGAUUAUGUGGCAGCUGGUAUGAAUUCAAGGACACAUUUGAAUUAUCAGGUUGUUUUUUCGCGUCAUGAAUACCCUGCUGCACCCGGCAGUCCAUACAAAGGUUUUUCUUCAGCACUAGACUGAUUACUUCUCUGAAAGGGGACCAAACUUCUGCGUUGAAAGCAGGUCAAGCUGUAGCUACUUCUUUUCUCCUUUCUGUCUUUAA